AUGCUGCUGAUCCUGCUGUCAGUGACCCUGCUGGCUCUGAGCUCAGCUCAGACCACAGAUGAUGAUGCCGUCUAUCCAGAUGAUUCCCAAAUAGCAUCAGACUAUGAGAACCAAGAUGAGAGCUCUGAUGCACUACCUCCUGAGGAACUCCCAGCUAGCUCUUUCGAUGAUUAUGAUGAAAAUCAAGAUGAAAUUACAGAGCAGAAUCUACCACCAGAAGAAGCCAACCAGAAUGAGCACCAUCCACCUCCCCCUAAAAGCCACCAUGGAGCGAGCCAACAGGAAGACCAACAAAACCAGCAUCGCCUACCUCCCCUUAGAUACCAACAAAGACCUGUGCCACAACUUUUCCACAGGGCUGGACCACCACCUCCCUAAGACCAACUACCCCAGUAAUCUACAGUUCAGGAGGUGAAUAAGAAGACAACGUCUUCACCAAGACAGCACAUCGGAUCAAUGCAGUCAUAAGUCUUUUAUAUAACAAUAAAAUUGCUUGCAACGAAUGAUUAAUGUUUCUC
rnacentral:lncRNA from 1 species